rnacentral:snoRNA from 1 species
GACACGCUCCUUAGAUCCACCUCUAGAGGCUGGGCCUGGCCCACUCCUCAGCAGCCUGUGGCUGUACAGUUGGAGGUGCUUGAGUCAUUGGCGUGUUAAAGCAGUCCACCUGUUCCCCAGCCCAGGGCCCUAAUGGCCUCUGUCUGAGAGGCAGGUCACACCAGUGGGGCCAGUCUGGGAGAUGGACAGA